rnacentral:rRNA from 1 species
UACGUAGGGACCAAGCGUUUGUCCGGAAUUAUUGGGCGUAAAGAGCUCGUAGGCGGCUGUCCACGUCGGAUGUGAAAGCUCGGGGCUCAACUCUGAGAGGCCAUUCGAUACGGGAUAGCUAGAGGUAGGUAGGGGGAGAUUGGAAUUCCUGGUGUAGCGGUGAAAUGCGCAGAUAUCAGGAGGAACACCGGUGGCGAAGGCGGAUCUCUGGGCCUUACCUGACGCUGAGGAGCGAAAGCUGGGGGAGCAAACAGG